GAGUGCUUGCACUCAAUUGGAAAGAGGAGUGGCGGACGGGUGAGUAACACGUGGGUAACCUACCCAUCAGAGGGGGAUAACACUUGGAAACAGGUGCUAAUACCGCAUAACAGUUUAUGCCGCAUGGCAUAAGAGUGAAAGGCGCUUUCGGGUGCCGCUGAUGGAUGGACCCGCGGUGCAUUAGCUAGUUGGUGAGGUAACGGCUCACCAAGGCCACGAUGCAUAGCCGACCUGAGAGGGUGAUCGGCCACACUGGGACUGAGACACGGCCCAGACUCCUACGGGAGGCAGCAGUAGGGAAUCUUCGGCAAUGGACGAAAGUCUGACCGAGCAACGCCGCGUGAGUGAAGAAGGUUUUCGGAUCGUAAAACUCUGUUGUUAGAGAAGAACAAGGACGUUAGUAACUGAACGUCCCCUGACGGUAUCUAACCAGAAAGCCACGGCUAACUACGUGCCAGCAGCCGCGGUAAUACGUAGGUGGCAAGCGUUGUCCGGAUUUAUUGGGCGUAAAGCGAGCGCAGGCGGUUUCUUAAGUCUGAUGUGAAAGCCCCCGGCUCAACCGGGGAGGGUCAUUGGAAACUGGGAGACUUGAGUGCAGAAGAGGAGAGUGGAAUUCCAUGUGUAGCGGUGAAAUGCGUAGAUAUAUGGAGGAACAC
rnacentral:rRNA from 1 species